GGCACCCUCACAUGUUUCACAGUCUUUUUUUUAACCUACCCUGUCAAUCCUUUUCAUCUCAUCUUGGUUUUCAUUUCCUCUAACCAUCAGUGCUUUCAGCUUUACACAGGAAGUGUCAGGUCAGCCCUUCCCCUGCUGCUCAUCUCUGUAGUCUUAGUUUUUAAGCAAAGUGUGUACAGAAUUACACCCAGGGAGAGGAACUGUGGUUCAUACCAAGGCUUCUCCUCCUUAGCGAGACAAUCUUUUGACAAUCUGUUGGCACUUUGCUUCUCUUUAACUGCAGCUCUUUUUCAGAUGAUCAGUUUGACUGCACCCACCUGCAGUGGAACCACAACAUGAGUUUACGGAAGCUAAGUUUCAAAUGGUUUGACAGCCUAUCCAACCUCUCUUUUCGCCGCUCCACUGAGAAAUCAGACUCCAAGUCCUCUAAGUUAAAGUCUGGUGCUGGAGUAGGACCUGAAGAUGACCGGGAACACUGCAGUGACCUAACUCCAGCUGAAGAAACCCUUGACGACAUGGGUGCCAUGCGUCCUCGCACUGCCAGCUAUGUCCGCUCCAGUGAGAGCUACACCCAUGUGGGCACACUGCCACGUCUGCUGGGAAGGAAAAAGGACAAGGGUAACAAAAGUAAAGCAGCAGAAAUUAGUUACUAGUUGAAAUAUGCUCUUUUUUAGAUAUGCUCUUCAGCUGAUUACUGCUUUCUUCCUCAGGAGGCUCAGGCAGCGAUAAGAAGAGUAAAGACAAGAGAGGCAUCAUGAGAAGUCAGAGCCAGAGACCUACAGGUGAUUACAGCCAAGGGUCUUCAAAUUUCACAGGCUUCUCAUUUAAAGUAUUUGCAAAACAAGCUCAUCCCAAGUCAGUGUCUGAGCACAGCCAAAUAUCAGACUCCAAGUCCAAAAACACCUGUGUAAAUCCAGUAGCCGAGGAAACACUGGACGACAUGGGGGCCAUGCGUCCUCGCACUGCCAGCUAUGUCCGCUCCAGUGAGAGCUACACACAUGUUGGCACGCUGCCACGGCUAUUGAUGAAGGACAAAAGUAGUAAAGGAGGCAGUGAUAAGAGGAAUAAAGACAAAAAAGGCAUUAACAAAAGUCAGAGCCUGCAACCCGCUGCUGAUGAAGGCCAAGGGUCUGUGAAACUCUCAGUUGUCUCUUCUGUGUCUGUAGAUGACUCUGCUGUUAAAGCUGAUGUCAAACUCAACCAAAGCUCUCCAGCUUACCCCAAGACACAUCCUAAACCUACAGUAGAGAGUGAUGCCAUAAACACCCAAAACAUCACCUCCACACCCAUAUCUCGCACUGAAGAUGUGUCGCCAUCUGGUGACUCUAGCGCGGAACUCCAGUCAGAGAUGUGCAACAUUAAGGUCGAUGCAGACUUGAAGAAUGAGUCCACCAAAGAGGCUCCUCCUCUCAACAAGACAUGUGAAGGUACUCAUGAAGGUGAUGGGUCUGGGCCUGGUUCUGAAGCAAAGGAGAAGCCAGGAAACCUAAACGACAGCAUUGAUGGG
rnacentral:lncRNA from 1 species